UACGAAGGGGGCCUAGCGUUGCUCGGAAUCACUGGGCGUAAAGCGCACGUAGGCGGCUUUUAAGUCAGGGGUGAAAUCCUGGAGCUCAACUCCAGAACUGCCUUUGAUACUGAGAGCUUGAGUCCGGGAGAGGUGAGUGGAACUGCGAGUGUAGAGGUGAAAUUCGUAGAUAUUCGCAAGAACACCAGUGGCGAAGGCGGCUCACUGGCCCGGUACUGACGCUGAGGUGCGAAAGCGUGGGGAGCAACAGG
rnacentral:rRNA from 1 species